rnacentral:rRNA from 1 species
AGUGAACGCUGGCGGUAGGCCUAACACAUGCAAGUCGAACGGCAGCACAGUAAGAGCUUGCUCUUACGGGUGGCGAGUGGCGGACGGGUGAGGAAUACAUCGGAAUCUACUUUUUCGUGGGGGAUAACGUAGGGAAACUUGCGCUAAUACCGCAUACGACCUACGGGUGAAAGCAGGGGAUCUUCGGACCUUGCGCGAUUGAAUGAGCCGAUGUCGGAUUAGCUAGUUGGCGGGGUAAAGGCCCACCAAGGCGACGAUCCGUAGCUGGUCUGAGAGGAUGAUCAGCCACACUGGAACUGAGACACGGUCCAGACUCCUACGGGAGGCAGCAGUGGGGAAUAUUGGACAAUGGGCGCAAGCCUGAUCCAGCCAUACCGCGUGGGUGAAGAAGGCCUUCGGGUUGUAAAGCCCUUUUGUUGGGGAAGAAAAGCAGCAGGUUAAUACCCCGCUGUUCUGACGGUACCCAAAGAAUAAGCACCGGCUAACUUCGUG